rnacentral:rRNA from 1 species
UGGCAGUGCGCGUGCUAGAAUGCAGUCGAACGGGAGAAUUGCUAGCUUGCUAAUAAUUCUCUAGUGGCGCACGGGUGAGUAACACGUGAGUAACCUGCCCCCGAGAGCGGGAUAGCCCUGGGAAACUGGGAUUAAUACCGCAUAGUAUCGAAAGAUUAAAGCAGCAAUGCGCUUGGGGAUGGGCUCGCGGCCUAUUAGUUAGUUGGUGAGGUAACGGCUCACCAAGGCGAUGACGGGUAGCCGGUCUGAGAGGAUGUCCGGCCACACUGGAACUGAGACACGGUCCAGACACCUACGGGUGGCAGCAGUCGAGAAUCAUUCACAAUGGGGGAAACCCUGAUGGUGCGACGCCGCGUGGGGGAAUGAAGGUCUUCGGAUUGUAAACCCCUGUCAUGUGGGAGCAAAUUAAAAAGAUAGUACCACAAGAGGAAGAGACGGCUAACUCUGUGCCAGCAGCCGCGGUAAUACAGAGGUCUCAAGCGUUGUUCGGAAUCACUGGGCGUAAAGCGUGCGUAGGCUGUUUCGUAAGUCGUGUGUGAAAGGCGCGGGCUCAACCCGCGGACGGCACAUGAUACUGCGAGACUAGAGUAAUGGAGGGGGAACCGGAAUUCUCGGUGUAGCAGUGAAAUGCGUAGAUAUCGAGAGGAACACUCGUGGCGAAGGCGGGUUCCUGGACAUUAACUGACGCUGAGGCACGAAGGCCAGGGGAGCGAAAGGGAUUAGAUACCCCUGUAGUCCUGGCAGUAAACGGUGCACGCUUGGUGUGCGGGGAAUCGACCCCCUGCGUGCCGGAGCUAACGCGUUAAGCGUGCCGCCUGGGGAGUACGGUCGCAAGAUUAAAACUCAAAGAAAUUGACGGGGACCCGCACAAGCGGUGGAGUAUGUGGCUUAAUUCGAUGCAACGCGAAGAACCUUACCUGGGCUUGACAUGUAAUGAACAACAUGUGAAAGCAUGCGACUCUUCGGAGGCGUUACACAGGUGCUGCAUGGCCGUCGUCAG